rnacentral:tRNA from 1 species
GCCUUCGUGGUGUAAUUGGUAGCACAUUUGGCGCGUAUUCGAGAGGUCCAAGUUCGAGUCCCGGCGAGGGCA